GACGAACGCUGGCGGCGUGCUUAACACAUGCAAGUCGAACGGUGAAGCUCUAAGCUUGCUUGGGGUGGAUCAGUGGCGAACGGGUGAGUAACACGUGCGCAACCUGCGCCCGAAUCCGGAAUAAGCCCAGGACACGGCGUCUAAUACUGGAGAUGAGCUCAGUCCACCUGGGCAUGGGUUGGCAAGGUUGUCGGUCCGGGAUGGGCUCGCGGCCUAUCAGGUUGUUGGUGAGGUAAUGGCGCACCAAGGCGACGACGGGUAGCCGGCCUGAGAGGGCGACCGGCCACACUGGGACUGAGACACGGCCCAGACUCCUACGGGAGGCAGCAGUGGGGAAUAUUGCACAAUGGGCGAAAGCCUGAUGCAGCGACGCCGCGUGAGGGAUGACGGCCUUCGGGUUGUAAACCUCUUUCAGCAGGGAAGAAGCGAAAGUGACGGUACUUGCAGAAGAAGCACCGGCUAACUACGUGCCAGCAGCCGCGGUAA
rnacentral:rRNA from 1 species